UGGCUCAGAACGACGCUGGCGGCGCGUCUUAAGCAUGCAAGUCGAACGGCAAGAGGUAGCAAUACCUCCUAGAGUGGCGGACUGGUGAGUAACACGUGGGUGACAUACCCUUCAGAUGGGGAUAGCUAUUAGAAAUAGUAGAUAAUACCGAAUACGAGCACAGGGGUUAGAGAUCUGUGAGGAAAGGAGCUAAGGCUCCGCUGAAGGAAUGGCCUGCGGCCCAUUAGCUAGUUGGUGAGGUAAGAGCCCACCAAGGCGAUGAUGGGUAUCCGGCCUUAGAGGGUGAACGGACACAUUGGGACUGAGAUACGGCCCAGACUCCUACGGGAGGCAGCAGCUAAGAAUAUUCCGCAAUGGACGAAAGUCUGACGGAGCGACGCCGCCGUGGAUGAAGAAGGCCGGAAGGUUGUAAAAUCCUUUUGAAACUGAAGAAUAAGCGUUGUAGGGAAUGACAGCGUGGUGACAGUAGGUUUUGAAUAAGCAACGGCUAAUUACGUGCCAGCCGCCGC
rnacentral:rRNA from 1 species